rnacentral:misc_RNA from 1 species
UAGAAACUGGGUAAUCUAAUGAUGUUAAUUAAUUAGUCUCUUUUGUACAAAGAGAAGUUUGGUUAUCUAAUGGGAUUCUCACUUUUUUCUUUUCAUCCCCAUUAGCAUUUCUUGCUUUUGUUUUAGUAGCUCAGUAACUUCUGCAACAUGUAUUGUAUAAUUCUUGUAAAGAUAAUGGUCCACCAUUGAGGUUAACAACCCAAUUAAUUAUAGCUUUAGAGAAUGUGUGCAAUUUAGUGAUCCCAAUUACAAAAG